AUGAUUAAAAGGGAGCUUUGCACCRCUGGCUGCUCCCAGCCCGGCAGGCUGGGCCAGGUGAGCAGCCCCCGCCCCGGCACGGCGGCCCAGGGCCCCCAGGACUGCGGCAUGGCACGGUGCAGCACGGCACAGUGCGGCACAGUGCAGCACGGUAUGGCACGGCACGGUGCAGCAUGGCGGAGCAUGGCAUGGCACAGCACGGCGCGGCACGGCAUGGCACGGUGCGGCACAGUGCAGCAUGGUGCAGCAUGGCGUGGCACAGCACGGCAUGGCGCGGCACUGCACGGUGCAGCAUGGCACGGUGCAGCACGGCAUGACACGGUGCAGCACAGUGCAGCAGACACGGCACGGCGCGGCACGGCACGGCGCGGCACGGUGCGGCACAGCAGUGCUGCCUGCCCUCCCUGUCUGCUGGCGCUAAGGGACGGAGGGAAGAGACAGGCCGAGACGGGGGCCCGUCCCUUGCUCCGGGGCGCGUGGGGCCCCGCUCACGGGGUCAGUGAGCGCGUGCGCGGCCGGCACUCGCAGAGCGGUCUGAGCUCCACGGGGCCCGUCCGUGCCACCCCCGGCUCCGGCAGCAGCCUGCAUCGGACGCACCCUGCGCCAGCACUCCCUCCGGUGCUGCGGCGGCCCCCUCCCGUGCUCGCGCUGCACCGCCGGUGGGCACCGGGCCCCCCCUGCCUCCCCGCACCGCCCUCGCACCGCAGAGCUCGGCCUCCCCUCCCCGAGCCGCGGUGCCCCCCUCGUCCCGCUCGGUCYGCGCCAAGCUCCGACGGGGCCGGGAGCCUCAUGGGGGACCCUUGCCAUCGUGCUGCUGCGGCUGCGCUGGGGGAUCCGGCCGGGGCGCCGCAGGUCUGGGGUCGCUCCGAGCCACCAGCCCCCGUGCUGGGCCCCCCGGCGCCGACCCCGCCGCGCUCACCCCCGUCCACCGGUGCUCCUGCGGCCGGCUGCGCGCACAGGGCGAGGACGCCCACCAGCAAGACGCCCGCGGUCCUCAUGGCGCUGCCGGAGGAUGCUGCACUGCCGGCGUGGCGCGGCGGUGGCGUUUAUAUCCCCGCGGGCCGGGGAGGGGCCGCCGCGCGCCGGCCUUCGGGUGCCGAACGCGGCGCGGCAGGUCACAGCCCUGCCCGAGGCGGCCGCGGCCCCACGACGUGCGGUUGCCUGAGAAAUCAUUGA
rnacentral:lncRNA from 1 species